rnacentral:snRNA from 1 species
GGAUGUGAGGGUGAUCUGGCUGUGACAUAUAUCACCCAUUGAUUGCCAGAGUUCAUUCAGCUGAUCUGAAUGGCUAGGCAGGUAUCCCCUUCCUCCCUCAGUGCUCCUUGUGUGUCCCUCCUGAAGCUGUUAUCUCAGUCAAAGAGGACGACCAUCCCUGAUAGAGGAGAACUGUUCCUUGGUAAACAGUAUGCAAGUAGAUGUGCUCCCCUGAUAGAACCUCUAAACAAGCUCUCAGAAGCUAAAACUAGAUCCAGGCUUAUCAGCAAACUAAAGUAAAAAUGAAUUAAAGAUCUAAAUGUUAAAUAAGAAACAUUAAAUU